UACAGGGGGGCAAGCGUUGUUCGGAAUUACUGGGCGUAAAGGGCUUGUAGGUGGCCAACUAAGUCAUACGUGAAAUCCCUCGGCUUAACCGGGGAACUGCGUCUGAUACUGGAUGGCUUGAGUUCGGGAGAGGGAUGCGGAAUUCCAGGUGUAGCGGUGAAAUGCGUAGAUAUCUGGAGGAACACCGGUGGCGAAGGCGGCAUCCUGGACCGAUACUGACGCUGAGGAGCGAAAGCCAGGGGAGCAACGGG
rnacentral:rRNA from 1 species